CAAUCGAACUCGGAUAUAGCUGGUUCUCCCCGAAAUAGGUUUAGGCCUAGCCUCGUGGUAAAGCUUCUUGGAGGUAGAGCACUGAAUAGACGAUGGCGUCGUAUAGAUGUACUGAAUUUAAUCAAACUCCGAAUGCCAGGAAAGUAUACACGGGAGUCAGUGUAUGGGUGAUAACGUCCAUACGCGAGAGGAAAACAAUCCAGACCACCAGCUAAGGUCCCAAAUUUCAUGUUAAGUGGGAAAGGAUGUGGAGUUGUCUAAACAGCUAGGAGGUUGGCUUAGAAGCAGCCACCCUUUAAAGAGUGCGUAAUAGCUCACUAGUCGAAUGACACUGCGCCGAAAAUGUACCGGGGCUAAACAUGAAACCGAAGCUGUGGAUUUUAUAGAUAAUAUAAAAUGGUAGGGGAGCGUUCUAAUUGCGACGAAGAUGGAUCGUGAGGACUGUUGGAGCGAUUAGAAGUGAGAAUGCCGGUGUGAGUAGCGCAAGAAGGGUGAGAAUCCCUUCCACCGUUUGCCUAAGGGUUCCUGGGGAAGGUUCGUCCUCCCAGGGUAAGUCGGGUCCUAAGACGAGGCCGAAAGGCGUAGCCGAUGGACAACAGGUUGAUAUUCCUGUACCACCUAUAUAACUGAUGGAGUGACGAAGGAGGCUAUAGAAAGCCAGUUAAUGGAUUCUGGUCUAAGCACAUAGGCGUACAUAUAGGCAAAUCCGUAUGUAAUGUAGCUGAAGUGUUAUGGUGAAGGUAAUAGCGAUAUUACUGAAAUUUCUAGACGCCAAACUUCCAAGAAAAGCUUCUAGGGUUAAUUAUAUAGGUGCCCGUACCCAGAACCGACACAGGUAGGCAAGGAGAGUAUCCUAAGGUGAGCGAGAGAACUAUGGUUAAGGAACUCGGCAAAAUGACCCCGUAACUUCGGGAGAAGGGGUGGUCUAGCGAUAGACCCGCAGUAAAGAGUCCCAGGCAACUGUUUACCAAAAACACAGCUCUCUGCUAAAUCGAAAGAUGAUGUAUAGGGGGUGACACUUGCCCAGUGCUGGAAGGUUAAGAGGAGAGGUUAGUAAUGACUUCGGUUAUAUUUACGAAGCUUCGAAUUGAAGCCCCAGUGAACGGCGGCCGUAACUAUAACGGUCCUAAGGUAGCGAAAUUCCUUGUCAGGUAAGUUCUGACCCGCACGAAAGGCGUAAUGAUCUGGGUACUGUCUCAACCAUAGACUCGGUGAAAUCUUAAUACCUGUGAAAAUGCAGGUUACCCGCGACAGGACGGAAAGACCCCAUGGAGCUUUACUGUAGCUUGAUAUUGGAUCUCGAUGUGUUAUGUAGAGGAUAGGUGGGAGACUAUGAUGUUAGGACGCUAGUUCUAACGGAGUCAACCUUGGAAUACCACCCUUGCGAUGUUGAGAUUCUAACCUCGACCCAUUAUCUGGGUCAGGGACAGUGUCUGGUGGGCAGUUUGACUGGGGCGGUCGCCUCCCAAAAAGUAACGGAGGCGCUCAAAGGUUCCCUCAGAAUGGUUGGAAAUCAUUCGAAGAGCGUAAUGGUAUAAGGGAGCUUUACUGCGAGACCUACAAGUCAAGCAGUUACGAAAGUAGGACAUAGUGGGCCGGCGAUUCAGAAUGGAAUGGUCGUCGCUUAACGGAUAAAAGUU
rnacentral:rRNA from 1 species